GUUGUAGCUCAGUGGUAGAGUACUUGCCUUGCAUGUGUGAGGUACUGGGUUCAAUUCUCAGUACAACA
rnacentral:tRNA from 2 species